CUGAACAGCAAUCCUCGAUUUUGUCAAUAAUCUAAAACGUGCUAAGGAGUAGUCAUUCGUCGGUUUACCUGCGGCUUCCAGAUGAUCUGAAGAUCAGGAAUAUAGAAAAUAUUGUCAAUUUGAUAUUGCUAAUGACCCAGUCAAGUCUGCUGAAGCCCAGAAGUUUCCAGACCAUGACAUUAAUGAAUAUUCCUUGAAUGGAAUGCAUGAGGAUUAGAAUGGAACCUUAUUCUGCCUUUUUACCAACUCACACCAUCUUUUCAAGAUUUAUGGAGCCAACCACAGAAGAAUUUGUUCUAUACACAUCAUUCAUAACAUUCUUAUUUAUGUGGCAUAACUUUAAAUGUUACUGGAUGAAUUGUGUUCACAUAAUGAAUACCAGCAAACGUUUUAUCGAGUGCACUUAAUUCGUAUUUUUCCUACCCAUCCAUCUAACAUAUGUUUUUAUAUUACAUAUUCAUAUACAUGUUACAUAACAUUUUUGGAAAAAGCUAUUUUUUUAAAAUUGGAAUUUAGCCUUACUAUUUUAUACAAGUUUUUUUUUAAAGGGACUUGGACACGAUUUUAGAUCAAAAUUUUGUUUUCAAUUUCUUUAUGCAUAAAUUGAUUUACUUGCACAUUUUGAAUGAUUGACCACAAUUUGAAUGUUAGAAGUCAAGUUAUAAGAUAGAUACAGGGGUAAGAAUUUAUUGUUAUGUAAACAAAGCUCGAGUCUUAUGUUUGUUAACAAAUAAUAUAAAGUAUGAAAUUACCAUACUGAUUCGAUGUGAUCAUAAAUGAUAUUAAUGAUAUUAUUAAUAGAAAAAAGCAACAUUUGAAUGAAACUUACACCAAUAAAACACAUAUGUAAAUAAUAACAAGACUCGCGCUUUGUUUACAAAACAAAGAAUAUUUAAUUAUCUUUCUUUUAACUCAGUAUUUGACUUUCAAAAUUAGUAUUAUGAUUUUUUUAGAAUGAUAUAUGCAAUUUCAUUAAUUUAUUUUUCAUUUUAAGAAAAUUCAUUUAAAAAAAAAUAUCUUACAACCUGUGUAUUUUUUUUUCAGUUUACAUAACACAGUGUAUUAAUUGAAUGUAGUUGUGUAGAUUUAUACAUGUACCUACAAGCAAUAUACAUUUAAUAUUCACCAGGUACAUGUACCAGCCUACUAUAUUUGAUAAA